AUUGAACGCUGGCGGCAGGCCUAACACAUGCAAGUCGAGCGGAUGAAGGGAGCUUGCUCCUGGAUUCAGCGGCGGGCGGGUGAGUAAUGCCUAGGAAUCUGCCUGGUAGUGGGGGAUAACGUCCGGAAACGGGCGCUAAUACCGCAUACGUCCUGAGGGGGAAAGUGGGGGAUCUUCGGACCUCACGCUAUCAGAUGAGCCUAGGUCGGAUUAGCUAGUUGGUGGGGUAAAGGCCUACCAAGGCGACGAUCCGUAACUGGUCUGAGAGGAUGAUCAGUCACACUGGAACUGAGACACGGUCCAGACUCCUACGGGAGGCAGCAGUGGGGAAUAUUGGACAAUGGGCGAAAGCCUGAUCCAGCCAUGCCGCGUGUGUGAAGAAGGUCUUCGGAUUGUAAAGCACUUUAAGUUGGGAGGAAGGGCAGUAAGUUAAUACCUUGCUGUUUUGACGUUACCAACAGAAUAAGCACCGGCUAACUUCGUG
rnacentral:rRNA from 1 species